rnacentral:misc_RNA from 1 species
AAAUGAUGAGGGGCAAUGUACAUGGGGCGAACUAGGGGACUGUUAUUAAGCUACCUUGGACUAAAAGCGCGGCAUAAGUUACUAGUAAUCGUAAUUGCUCUCACUAUAAUCAAGAACAGAUUGUUAUAGUUCUUCUCAUUAAUUUAGUUUAUAUUGGGUCCAAUAGUUCAAAUAAAAAAAGAUUAAAACUUGAGCAU